rnacentral:rRNA from 1 species
GACAGAGGUGCCGAGCGUUAGGCGGAAUCACUGGGCUUAAAGCGCGUGUAGGCGGGUCGUUAAGUGCCUCGUGAAAUCCCACGGCUCAACCGUGGAACCGCGGGGCAUACUGGCGAUCUUGAGAGACCCAGGGGCGAGCGGAACAAAUGGUGGAGCGGUGAAAUGCGUAGAUAUCAUUUGGAACGCCAAUGGUGAAAACAGCUCGCUGGGGGUGUCCUGACACUGAGACGCGAAAGCCAGGGGAGCGAACGGG